rnacentral:rRNA from 1 species
GACGAACGCUGGCGGCGUGCCUAACACAUGCAAGUCGAACGAGAUCCAUGGGAGCUUGCUCCCGGAAGAUCUAGUGGCGAACGGGUGAGUAACACGUGAGAAACCUGCCCUGGAGUGGGGAAUAACUCGGGGAAACUCGAGCUAAUACCGCAUACCCUCGGAUGGGUCGCAUGGCCGACCGAGGAAAAGAUUUAUCGCUCUAGGAGGGUCUCGCGGCCUAUCAGCUAGUUGGUGGGGUAACGGCCUACCAAGGCAACGACGGGUAGCUGGUUUGAGAGAACGAUCAGCCACACUGGGACUGAGACACGGCCCAGACUCCUACGGGAGGCAGCAGUGGGGAAUCUUGCGCAAUGGGCGAAAGCCUGACGCAGCGACGCCGCGUGC